GACGAACGCUGGCGGCGGGCUUAACACAUGCAAGUCGAACGGAAAGGCCCUGCUUUUGUGGGGUGCUCGAGUGGCGAACGGGUGAGUAACACGUGAGUAACCUGCCCUUGACUUUGGGAUAACUUCAGGAAACUGGGGCUAAUACCGGAUAGGAGCUCCUGCUGCAUGGUGGGGGUUGGAAAGUUUCGGCGGUUGGGGAUGGACUCGCGGCUUAUCAACUUGUUGGUGGGGUAGUGGCUUACCAAGGCUUUGACGGGUAGCCGGCCUGAGAGGGUGACCGGCGACAUUGGGACUGAGAUACGGCCCAGACUCCUACGGGAGGCAGCAGUGGGGAAUAUUGCACAAUGGGCGGAAGCCUGAUGCAGCAACGCCGCGUGCGGGAUGACGGCCUUCGGGUUGUAAACCGCUUUCGCCUGUGACGAAGCGUGAGUGACGGUAAUGGGUAAAGAAGCACCGGCUAACUACGUG
rnacentral:rRNA from 1 species